AUUGAACGCUGGCGGCAUGCCUUACACAUGCAAGUCGAACGGCAGCACGGGAGCAAUCCUGGUGGCGAGUGGCGAACGGGUGAGUAAAGUAUCGGAACGUGCCCAGUCGUGGGGGAUAACGUAGCGAAAGUUACGCUAAUACCGCAUACGAUCUAUGGAUGAAAGCGGGGGAUCGCAAGACCUCGCGCGAUUGGAGCGGCCGAUAUCAGAUUAGGUAGUUGGUGGGGUAAAGGCUCACCAAGCCGACGAUCUGUAGCUGGUCUGAGAGGACGGCCAGCCACACUGGGACUGAGACACGGCCCAUACUCCUACGGGAGGCAGCAGUGGGGAAUUUUGGACGAUGGGCGCAAGCCUGAUCCAGCCAUGCCGCGUGCAGGAUGAAGGCCUUCGGGUUGUAAACUGCUUUUGUACGGAACGAAAAGACUCUGGUUAAUACCUGGGGUCCAUGACGGUACCGUAAGAAUAAGCACCGGCUAACUACGUGCCAGCCGCCGCCGUAA
rnacentral:rRNA from 1 species